rnacentral:rRNA from 1 species
AACGAACGCUGGCGGCAGGCUUAACACAUGCAAGUCGAACGCCCCUUACGGGGAGUGGCAGACGGGUGAGUAACGCGUGGGAAUCUACCCAUCUCUGCGGAAUAGCUCCGGGAAACUGGAAUUAAUACCGCAUACGCCCUACGGGGGAAAGAUUUAUCGGGGAUGGAUGAGCCCGCGUUGGAUUAGCUAGUUGGUGGGGUAAAGGCCUACCAAGGCGACGAUCCAUAGCUGGUCUGAGAGGAUGAUCAGCCACAUUGGGACUGAGACACGGCCCAAACUCCUACGGGAGGCAGCAGUGGGGAAUAUUGGACAAUGGGCGCAAGCCUGAUCCAGCCAUGCCGCGUGAGUGAUGAAGGCCUUAGGGUUGUAAAGCUCUUUCACCGAUGAAGAUAAUGACGGUAGUCGGAGAAGAAGCCCCGGCUAACUUCGUGCCAGCAGCCGCCGUAAAAC